rnacentral:tRNA from 1 species
AUCUCUGAGCUCAGGUGGUUAGAGCGCACCCCUGAUAAGGGUGAGGUCGGUGGUUCAAGUCCACUCAGGCCUACCA